UACGAAGGGUGCAAGCGUUACUCGGAAUUACUGGGCGUAAAGCGUGCGUAGGUGGUUUGUUAAGUCUGAUGUGAAAGCCCUGGGCUCAACCUGGGAAUUGCAUUGGAUACUGGCAGGCUAGAGUGCGGUAGAGGGUAGUGGAAUUCCCGGUGUAGCAGUGAAAUGCGCAGAUAUCGGGAAGAACACCCGUGGCGAAGGCGGCUCUAUGGGACGGCACUGACGCUGAGACGCGAAAGCGUGGGGAGCGAACAGG
rnacentral:rRNA from 1 species